GCUCUCGGGGGUCGCAACUGCGGCUGGGAACUGCCCAUUUCGUCCGCUCCUGGGUCCCCAAGGAUCGCCAUCCCGUGGGUGCAGCGGAGGGCUGCGGACCACAGGUAAGGGAACUGGGACUGCGUGGAGCAGGGAACCACGUAUUCCGCCCUCUGUUGGCACAUUCUCGGAGCUCCCCAACCUGGCGGUCGCAGAAAGGCCUCGCCUUUGGGGUCAAGGCCUUUACCGCUCCACCCCUUUGCUGAAAAAUCUCCGAGUCUGCACGGUUUUCCCAAGCAGCCUAGUGUCCGCUGGAAGUCCAAGGGACAGAACACUGAACUCUGGCCGGCUGGCCCAGCCCUGCUUCUGGCACUUUGUAGCCAGCGGGCCCUUGAGCACCUGCUGGGAUGGGAAAGGGAAGGGUCCACGGAUUGCACCCUAGAAACUUAGUAGGGUGCAUGGAUUUCAAACCCUGGUGGCCGCCCAGGCAGCAAAGAAGGGGGGAGGGCACCUUGCUGCCCUUUCAUGGCAGAAUCUGUGGCUGUCCUGCUGCGUGGGCCUUUUCAUGGGGACCUUGUGCAAUAAAAGUUUGGUGUUUUGGAACUGAAUAAUUAGAACGUGUAAAAAGUUUAAAUUAUGUGGUGGUGUAAUUAAAAAACAAAACAAAACAAAACCAAGCUCCAAGUGUUUGCACAGGGAGGUUUAAAUAUUGAAGGCCUGUUUUCCUUGCACUGUGGCAUUCUAUCAAGAAGUGUGCGGGAUUUUUUUUUUUUUUUAAGAAAAGUGUUCGAAGUGAGGGAAACAGGAAACCCAGAGGUGCCCCUGUAGUUUGGGGAAGGCCUUAGGAGGUCACUUGGAAAUGCUGCUGGCUGUGGGGGAGGGGGGCAGAUGGGCUGUGCAGGCUUGUCCUUUGCAUGCAUGUUCUUGUGUGUGGAAACCCAGCUCGGAGCCAUCUCCUGAUGUGUAAGAAUUUCGCAGACAAACCUUGAGCUAAGCAAUGCAUUUGUUCCUGAGGAAAUGUUUGUCUUAAGCGAUGUAAAUAUCCUAUGUAUUUCCGCUCGACUCUGGCUUCAGGUCGGUUCCCCCAAUAGGCUCAGAAGCGACUUGAACAAAACAGUAUGUUUUCCUCGUACCUUGUUCUCCUAAUCUAUGUUAAGGAAAUGAUAUAUUUGCCUGGAAUACUGCCUUUCUUCAAGAUUCAUGUCAAUCAGUUUUUGGCCCCGGAUGACUCACCUGCUGCCAAUGUGACCUCAAGGCAUGUCGUGGGGGAGGGGCCUGGUGCCAUUCACUGAGACAGUGCCUUUCUUUCCUUAGCUGACUGCUAGUGCCUGUAGAAUAUCUGGCUAGAGACCAGCAGGGCGUACACCCCGCCUCAAGUCUAAGUCAGCAGCUUUCUCUAUCUCAUUUAUACUUUAAUAACAAUUGAUGACACAAAAGCUCUGAGCGAUCAAAUCAUAUCGAAUCUUCAUUUCAGAUUGAAGAUGCAUUCCAUGGUAUUGCCAUCUUAAGUCUUUCCAUCGUUAUGGAAUAUCUGUCCAUGUAUUCAGGAUAGUUUUCAGCCAGGGUGUAUAAUUUCCAGUGUGCCAGUCUUGUCAUCCUCGUUACAUCCAUGGCAAAGUGUUGUAUUCAUGUUGACAUUAUUGAAAGGGAAUUUUUUUAAUUCCUUUUCAGAUUAUUAUCUGCUAAUGUAUACAGAUAAAACUGUGUAAUCAUUCGUUUUUAUCAGUUUGGACAGCUUGAUAGUUGUCUUUAAUUUCUUUCCUUUCUCAUACUUUAAGAUUUUCCGGGCACAUACAUGUACUGCCUCACCCCUAAUCUCAGUCAUGUGUUCAAAGAACUUCUGUCCUUUUAUUUGUUUAUUUAUUUUUUGCAACAUUGAAUUCGUUUUGACUAUGCUGGGUCUCUGCUGCAAGAUGGAAGUUGCUAGGACCUCUGGACUGCAGUCUGCCAUCUCUUACUGACCUCUUGUUGACCUCUGCAGAAUCCUGGUUAGUGGGAGCUUGUUAGUUCCUUGUUCCUUACCAGGACCUCCUGUGAGAACCCCAGGGACUGCGGGGCCUGGCUGGGCUGCCGUCUAUGGGGUCGCACAGAGUCGGACACGACUGAAACGACUUAGCAGCAGCAGGCGGCGGCAGCAGCAGCAGAAGAAGUGCAUCGAUAUCAAAAGGGUUGCGAACAGUCAGGUCAACCUAGAAGAGAUCACUUAAGAGGAAAAGAAACUUAAACUCCAUUAGCAAAGGCAGUUCAAC